rnacentral:rRNA from 1 species
UACAGAGGUCCCAAGCGUUGUUCGGAUUCACUGGGCGUAAAGGGUGCGUAGGUGGUCGGGUAAGUCCGAUGUGAAAUCUCCAGGCUCAACCUGGAAAUGGCAUUGGAUACUAUCCGGCUUGAGGAGUGGAGGGGGGACUGGAAUUCUCGGUGUAGCAGUGAAAUGCGUAGAUAUCGAGAGGAACACCAGUGGCGAAGGCGAGUCCCUGGACACUUCCUGACACUGAGGCACGAAGCUAGGGGAGCAAACAGG